GGUACCUACGGGGGGCAGCAGUGAGGAAUAUUGGUCAAUGGGCGGGAGCCUGAACCAGCCAAGUCGCGUGAGGGAAGACGGUCCUACGGAUUGUAAACCUCUUUUGCCGGGGAGCAACGGGGUCCUUGCGAGGGCCCGAUGAGAGUACCCGGAGAAAAAGCAUCGGCUAACUCCGUGCCAGCAGCCGCGGUAAUACGGAGGAUGCGAGCGUUAUCCGGAUUUAUUGGGUUUAAAGGGUGCGUAGGCGGUCCGGAAAGUCAGCGGUAAAAGCCCGGGGCUCAACCACGG
rnacentral:rRNA from 1 species